rnacentral:rRNA from 1 species
GUAGGGUGCGAGCGUUAAUCGGAAUUACUGGGCGUAAAGCGUGCGCAGGCGGUUCUGCAAGUCAGAUGUGAAAUCCCCGGGCUUAACCUGGGAACUGCGUUUGAAACUACGGAGCUAGAGUACGGCAGAGGGGGGUGGAAUUCCACGUGUAGCAGUGAAAUGCGUAGAUAUGUGGAGGAACACCGAUGGCGAAGGCAGCCCCCUGGGCCGAUACUGACGCUCAGGCACGAAAGCGUGGGGAGCAAACAGGAUUAGAUACCUUGGUAGUCCACGCCCUAAACUAUGUCAACUAGUUGUCGGGGAAGCAAUUCCUUGGAAACGAAGCUAACGCGUGAAGUUGACCGUCUGGGGAGUACGGUCGCAAGAUUA